rnacentral:rRNA from 1 species
GACGAACGCUGGCGGCGUGCUUAACACAUGCAAGUCGAACGGAGUGGCGAACGGGUAAGUAACCCGUGGGUGAGCUGCCUAGCACUUCGGGAUAAGCUUGGGAGACUGGGUCGAUACCGGAUCGUGCACGAUGAGCUCGCGGUCUAUCAGCUUGUGGGUGGGGUAAUGGCCUACCAAGGCUUCGACGGGUUGCCGGCCGGAGAGGGUGUACGGCCAAAUUGGGACUGAGAGACGGCCCAGACGCCUACGGGAGGCAGCAGUGGGGAAUAUUGCACAAUGGGCGGAAGCCUGAUGGAGCGACGCCGCGUGGGGGAUGAAGGCCUUCGGGUUGUAAACUCCUGUCGACAGGGACGCGGUACCUGUAUAAGAAGCACCGGCUAACUACGUGCCAGCAGCCGCGGUAAUUC